GCACCCGCGGUAAUUCCAGCACCAAUAGCGUAUAUUAAUGCUGCCGCUGUUAAAAAGCUCGUAGUUGGAUCAAGAGUACAACAGUGCACGGUGGCCCUGUUUGUUAUGGUGGUUCCGAUCACCUGACGGCAGCGGAUCAACCCUGUGCGCCAAACUGUUGUCUCUAACUGACCGAAACGGUUCCCUGUGAGUAGGUUCCUUAAUUGGGAUUGAAAGCGCUUACGCAUCAACCAUAUGCAUACGGGACGUCGGUCAAAGUUACUGUGAACAAACCAGCGUGUCCAAAACAGGCCUUCGGCCUGAAUGUUCGAGCAUGGAAUAACAAGGGAUCGAUUCUCUCGGUUCUUUUUGUUGGUUUUUAACCCGAGAAGGAGUAAUUCAGGCCACGGUGUCUGAGUUGGGUUUCCCUCCACUUCGGUGAAGGCCCCAAUUAGGCCGUGUCCUUACGGGAUAAAUAGGGACUGACGGGGUCGUACGUACUUCUACGUCAGAGGUGAAAUUCUUAGAUCGUAGGAAGACGAACUUCUGCGAAAGCAUUCGACAAGAAUGUCUUCAUUAAUCAAGAACGAGAGUGUGGGGAUCGAAGAUGAUCAGAUACCGUCGUAGUCCACUACUGUAAACAAUGCCGUCUCAGGAUUGAGAAGUGAACAGAAUGACUUUCACAGCACUAACCCCUGAAACGAGAAAUCAAAGAUUAUGGGUUCAGGGGGGAGUACAUUCGCAAGGCUGAAACUUAAAGGAAUUGACGGAAUGACACCACAAGGCGUGGAGUAUGCGGCUUAAUUUGACUCAACACGGGGAAUUUUACUAGGUCAGGACAAUGUAAGGAUUGACAGAUUGAGAGCUCUUUCUCGAUCCAUUGUGUGGUGGUGCAUGGCCGCUCCUGGUUGGUGGAGUGAUUUGUCUGGUUGAUUCCGUUAACGAACGAGAUCUCGACCCUUAAAUAGGUGCCCAUGUCGUUUGUAGUUUCGCCUCCGCGUACUCGUACGAUUGGAGCGGGACGAGACUGUGGGAAUACUUCUUAAGGGGACUGUGUGCGUCUCUAGCACGCGGAAGAGCGAGCCAAUAGCAGGUCUGUGAUGCUCCUAAAUGUCCUAGGCUGCACGCGCACUACACUGAUGCAAUAAACGAGUCUGAGUGCCUUCUGGCAACCUACCUGGAAGCGGGUGGGAAAUCUUUUGAACUUGCAUCGUGAUGAG
rnacentral:rRNA from 1 species